AAUUUUUUUAUAAUGUGACUGAAUGUUAAAGACCAUAUGUAACUGAAUAUAAUAUAACCAAAAUGCAAAAACUGCUAAUUACAUCAUCUUUGUCUAUGUGGGAAAUGUAAGCUCUUUUUAAGCAGGGGAAGCUUUUCUAGUAGCCUCUAUAAUUAGACAUACAUAUAGCAAUCUAGUCUACCUCAGGUCAGGUGAUACUGACUAUAUGCUCAGGGUUACCCUGUUUUCCAACAGUUAACUUAGCAAUAUCUGAAUUGUAAGAAGGGAAACUAUAAGCUCACCUGCAG